rnacentral:rRNA from 1 species
UUGGGGGGUCUACCAUGCAGUCGACGGUGAAGCAGGAGCUUGCUCUUGUGGAUCAGUGGCGAACGGGUGAGUAACACGUGAGCAACCUGCCCCGAACUCUGGGAUAAGCGCUGGAAACGGCGUCUAAUACUGGAUAUGCACCAGGAAGGCAUCUUCACUGGUGGGAAAGAUUUUUUGGUUCGGGAUGGGCUCGCGGCCUAUCAGCUUGUUGGUGAGGUAAUGGCUCACCAAGGCGUCGACGGGUAGCCGGCCUGAGAGGGUGACCGGCCACACUGGGACUGAGACACGGCCCAGACUCCUACGGGAGGCAGCAGUGGGGAAUAUUGCACAAUGGGCGGAAGCCUGAUGCAGCAACGCCGCGUGAGGGACGACGGCCUUCGGGUUGUAAACCUCUUUUAGCAGGGAAGAAGCGAAAGUGACGGUACCUGCAGAAAAAGCGCCGGCUAACUACGUGCCAGCAGCCGCGGUAAUACGUAGGGCGCAAGCGUUAUCCGGAAUUAUUGGGCGUAAAGAGCUCGUAGGCGGUCUGUCGCGUCUGCUGUGAAAUCCCGAGGCUCAACCUCGGGCCUGCAGUGGGUACGGGCAGACUAGAGUGCGGUAGGGGAGAUUGGAAUUCCUGGUGUAGCGGUGGAAUGCGCAGAUAUCAGGAGGAACACCGAUGGCGAAGGCAGAUCUCUGGGCCGUAACUGACGCUGAGGAGCGAAAGGGUGGGGAGCAAACAGGCUUAGAUACCCUGGUAGUCCACCCCGUAAACGUUGGGAACUAGUUGUGGGGGCCUUUCCACGGUCUCCGUGACGCAGCUAACGCAUUAAGUUCCCCGCCUGGGGAGUACGGCCGCAAGG